CAAUACCACUGCCCAAGGCAUUUGGUCAUCCUGUAAUCAUGGAGGUACCUCAAGGUUGUGAGCUAAAUAUAGAAGGACCUGAAGACAGCAUCAGGAAACACCUGGAAAGUGAUCAGCCAGCUGACAUCCAACACAGGAUAGGCCAAUCAGCCCUGUGGGAGCAGUCACCAUCUGACAGGCUUGAAUCAGCCCUGUUGUUGGAGUGCUCAUCUGAGCUCUCCUCUUACGUCAUGGCUUUCUCAGAGCCACCAGUACGCUGCGUGAAUCCAUCGCAGCUCAGUGACCUGCUAAAGCGUGCCGCGGCAGCCCCACUGGCCGGGCGCAGCGCGCUCCCACUGCUGGAGCCGGUCGGUACGCUGCUGCGGCUGCACCUGGCGCUGCACGCCGGCGGCAAGGUGGCGGCGCGGCCCGGCCUCGAGUGGCCUCUGCGGCUGGACGUGAGCGGCCAGCAGUGUCGACCGGUGGCGCGCGACGAGCGGCGCCGCCACGCCGCCUACACGGACGAGGCUCUGCUCGA